rnacentral:ncRNA from 10 species
AUCGUUCAAUCUGUUUUUACAGAUCGGAAGUAGGUAAUACCGAAGGAACGCGGA